rnacentral:misc_RNA from 1 species
UCCGGGUUGGACCCGGCGGUCCCGCCAGACAUCGUAACUGGCAGCGAGGGUUGCGCUCGUUGCGGGACUUAACCCAACACCUCACGGCACGAGCUGACGACAGCCAUGCAGCACCUCGACUAGUGUCCCUUGCGGGAAAAGCGACUUUCGCCGCCUGUCACUAGCCGUUCGAGCCCAGGUAAGGUUCUUCGCGUUGCGUCGAAUUAAACCACAUACUCCACCGCUUGUGCGGGCCCCCGUCAAUUCCUUUGAGUUUCAGUCUUGCGACCGUACUCCCCAGGCGGCGAACUUAACGCGUUAGCUUCGAUACUGAGAGCCAAAUUGCUCCCAACAUCUAGUUCGCAUCGUUUACGGCGUGGACUAC